UGACCCUGUGAAGAGACUGUGAAAAGUAGGGUGUGCCUAGUGGUUUGUAUGUGGAAUGCCCCAGGCAGAGGGACUUCCUAGGAGCCAAGCUGUUGCUUGGCUAUCUUUGUGUCAUACGUGACUUCUGUUCGAGUUCCAGCAUUAGCGGGAGAGCCUCACAUAUAUUGCCAGCCCUCUCCCUGCCCAGAACUCUUGUGACUGGCCCUAAGGCAGAUCAGGUGUUUAUUCCAUAUCCUUGAUGACAAAGAAACUGUGAUCGUGUUCUGGGGAAUGUCCCUUUUCCCAUUCAAGUGUAUGAUCAUAUUUUCAAGCAAUCACGUUUACAUUCAGCCUGGAAACUUUCUGCCCAGUUCUUAAGUUCUACUGCCAGCAGCUUGGAUACUACAGAAUGCUGAUUUAGCUCAUAGGAUGCAUUGAACCACUUUGCCAUGGUAACCAGCAGACAGACCUGAGAGAAGCAAGGCUGCAGAGAAACUGUAGCCAUCACCAAACAACAAAUCAAAGGGAAGUGUCUCAGGAGAGAUUUCUAAUUAUCAUACAUUUGUCCUUGCAGCCAAACCAGGAUGCAGUGGAAAUGGUGCCUUUGGCACUAGCAUCUUAGGUCACAAAAUCAGACAAGGUCUCACUCUGUCACCCUCGACUAGAGUACAGUGGCAGGAUCUCCACUCACUGCAACCUCCACCUUCCAGGGUAAGUGAUUCUCCUGCCUCAGCCUCCUGAGUAGCUGGGAUUACAGGCACGUGCCAUUGCCACCCAGCUAAUUUUUGUAUUUUUUAGUAGAGAUGGAGUUUCACUGUGUUGGCCAGGCUGGUCUCGAACUGCUGACCUCAAAUGAUCUGCCUGCCUUGGCCUCCCAAAGUGCUGGGAUUAUAGGCAUGAGCCACCAUGCCUGACCGGAAAUAGAGUUCUUAAGGGAAUCUUGAUGUACACUGGGUGGGAACAACAUAGGAUCCAGAAAGUAUGUUUGCGUAGCCCCUUGUGGGGAAGCUCUUCAAAAAAGAGGAUGAAGAUUCACUCCUCUUCCAUAAUACUGAGGAUAGUGCUAUGUUACCCAGUGGUUGGUUGGGAAGAUCACACUCUGGUAUGAUGUUGAGUCACUUAAUGCACCGAAUCCAUGAGAAGCUAGACUUGUGUGUGAAAAAUUACAGGGCUUAUAUGAAAAAUGCAGCUCUCUAGCUCAAAUUGGGAAAUGCUACAAAGAAGCAAUAAAACCAAACAGGACACCCCACUCUAAGCCUAGAGAACAGUAAUAAGUGAAAAUGACUGCUAAUGGCAUAUUGUCAGUGAUAUAAUAUUGCUGCCCUUUGGAUGUCAGAACUGGACUUUUUCUGAAUUUAUUAUAAUAUUCGCAGGGGGAGAAUGCAUGUUCAUUACUAGUGCUUAGAGCAUCUGGUAAGGUAACCUCUAAUUCUGC
rnacentral:lncRNA from 10 species